rnacentral:rRNA from 1 species
UACGGAGGGUGCAAGCGUUGUCCGGAAUCACUGGGCGUAAAGGGCGCGUAGGCGGCUCAUGAAGGCUGUGGUGAAAGUCCGGGGCUCAACCUCGGAUCGGCCGUGGCGACUCGUGGGCUGGAGCACUGUAGAGGCGGGUGGAAUUCCGGGUGUAGCGGUGGAAUGCGUAGAGAUCCGGAAGAACACCAGUGGCGAAGGCGGCCCGCUGGGCAGUGGCUGACGCUGAAGCGCGACAGCGUGGGGGACAG